UCCCUGGUGGCUCAGACGGUAAAGCGUCUGCCUGCAGUGCGGGAGACCCAGGUUUGAUCCCUGGGUUGGGAA
rnacentral:tRNA from 1 species